rnacentral:rRNA from 1 species
GACGAACGCUGGCGGCGUGCUUAACACAUGCAAGUCGAACGGAAAGGUCCUGCUUUUGUGGGGUGCUCGAGUGGCGAACUGGUGAGUAACACGUGAGUAACCUGCCCUUGACUUUGGGAUAACUUCAGGAAACUGGGGCUAAUACCGGAUAGGAGCUCCUGCUGCAUGGUGGGGGUUGGAAAGUUUCGGCGGUUGGGGAUGGACUCGCGGCUUAUCAGCUUGUUGGUGGGGUAGUGGCUUACCAAGGCUUUGACGGGUAGCCGGCCUGAGAGGGUGACCGGCCACAUUGGGACUGAGAUACGGCCCAGACUCCUACGGGAGGCAGCAGUGGGGAAUAUUGCACAAUGGGCGGAAGCCUGAUGCAGCAACGCCGCGUGCGGGAUGACGGCCUUCGGGUUGUAAACCGCUUUCGCCUGUGACGAAGCGUGAGUGACGGUAAUGGGUAAAGAAGCACCGGCUAACUACGUG